rnacentral:rRNA from 1 species
UGGGGAAUAUUGGACAAUGGGGGGAACCCUGAUCCAGCCAUGCCGCGUGUGUGAAGAAGGCCUUUUGGUUGUAAAGCACUUUAAGCGAGGAGGAGGCUACCGAGAUUAAUACUCUUGGAUAGUGGACGUUACUCGCAGAAUAAGCACCGGCUAACUCUGUGCCAGCAGCCGCGGUAAUACAGAGGGUGCAAGCGUUAAUCGGAUUUACUGGGCGUAAAGCGCGCGUAGGUGGCCAAUUAAGUCAAAUGUGAAAUCCCCGAGCUUAACUUGGGAAUUGCAUUCGAUACUGGUUGGCUAGAGUAUGGGAGAGGAUGGUAGAAUUCCAGGUGUAGCGGUGAAAUGCGUAGAGA